rnacentral:rRNA from 1 species
AUUGAACGCUGGCGGCAUGCCUUACACAUGCAAGUCGAACGGCAGCACGGGUGCUUGCCCCUGGUGGCGAGUGGCGAACGGGUGAGUAAUACAUCGGAACAUGUCCUGUAGUGGGGGAUAGCCCGGCGAAAGCCGGAUUAAUACCGCAUACGAUCUACGGAUGAAAGCGGGGGACCUUCGGGCCUCGCGCUAUAGGGUUGGCCGAUGGCUGAUUAGCUAGUUGGUGGGGUAAAGGCCUACCAAGGCGACGAUCAGUAGCUGGUCUGAGAGGACGACCAGCCACACUGGGACUGAGACACGGCCCAGACUCCUACGGGAGGCAGCAGUGGGGAAUUUUGGACAAUGGGCGAAUGCCUGAUCCAGCAAUGCCGCGUGUGUGAAGAAGGCCUUCGGGUUGUAAAGCACUUUUGUCCGGAAAGAAAUCCUUGGCCCUAAUACGGUCGGGGGAUGACGGUACCGGAAGAAUAAGCACCGGCUAACUACGUG